rnacentral:rRNA from 1 species
GAUGAACGCUGGCGGCGUGCUUAACACAUGCAAGUCGAACGAGAAGUGAAGACGGAAACCUUCGGGCGGAAGGCUUUAUUUCGAGUGGCGGACGGGUGAGUAACGCGUGGGUAACCUGCCUCAUACAGGGGGAUAACAGUUGGAAACGACUGUUAAUACCGCAUAAGACCACAGCACCGCAUGGUGCGGGGGUAAAAACUCCGGUGGUAUGAGAUGGACCCGCGUUCGAUUAGCCAGUUGGCGGGGUAACGGCCCACCAAAGCGACGAUCGAUAGCCGAUCUGAGAGGAUGACCGGCCACAGUGGGACUGAGACACGGCCCAAACUCCUACGGGAGGCAGCAGUGGGGAAUAUUGCACAAUGGGGGAAACCAUGAUGCAGCGACGCCGCGUGAGUGAAGAAGUAUUUCGGUAUGUAAAGCUCUAUCAGCAGGGAAGAAAAUGACGGUACCUGAGUAGGAAGCCCCGGCUAACUACGUG